GAGAUUUUAUUGUAAUGCACAGAACGACCUGCCCUCUUUUGAAAAAAGCGAGAAAGCGCAGCCAUGCUUUGCAGAGGCUCCAGCAUCGCUCUCAUUGGCAGUCUCUGCUUCUCGCCAGACGGACUCUUUGCUUGUCCGCCGCUACACCGAAAGGAACCGGGAAUACAAGCGACUGCCUCCGUGAUGUUAAGACCUGCAAUAAAGAAUUAAUGCUAGAAUGAUUUAUAAAAAAACAAAAACAAAAAAAAACAGCAGAGCACGGAUACAUAUAAGCAGAGCACAGUGUUCUGGGAUCCACCAUAUGGCGUGGACCAUAUCAUGGUGCAUUAUGGGAUAAUGGAGGACUUUUACGCUUUCUGCGAUUUUGGACAAAGCAGCCGAUCAAACGGAGUCCUUUUUCGCCUGCAAAAGCGGCCUAGGACGUAUCAUCACUUUGCCCGCAAAACUACCUACUGGCUGUUUUGCGUUUAAGUCAUUCCUGUAACCGUAACUUCUUGUUCCUCCAAUUGAAUGUUGUUAUUUUUUUACAUAAUAAGGUAGGCCUGCACAACAACCGGGUGAGGAUUUGAUCUCUUUGGACCCGUGCUUGGGAUUUUUAUUUUGUUUCAACUUUUGGCCAAACUUGACAUCCCAAAAUAGCUUUUAGUCAUACAACAAAGUCGUUAAAGGCUGCAAAAGUAUUUGAUUAUAUUUGUAACAGAUUUUAGGGAAAGGAUCGAGGUGUGUGGCCGUUUCCCCGCAGCAGCGUGAAUGAGGCUGGACACACGUUCAUACACACAUGCAUGAAAACACACACACGUACGAGCGGGUUAUGUCUCUCCGUGUUCACAGCGGACCUUGAUUUAAUGUCUUACAAUUAAGGCACGCGGUGAAUGCCAAGGGAUGAUCCUUCUUUCUUCGGAUGACUACAGAGCCAAGAAAUACAUCACAUCUUUUAACUAAAUUACAUUUUUUUUAAACAGAAGCCUAUUUGGUGUCGCUUUUACUGUAAAUUUGCUUCUGUCGUUAACUCAUGUACUGUCUCUUCCCCCCUUUCGUCCAUCAAUAAAGUAAAUCCACGCAACCAUU